AGUCUAAAAGGAGGAGGCGAAUCGAACGCAAAAAUUAUGGGCCCAGUUUUUGAGAUCUAAAUGAAGUUCGAAAAUCGCCGUUAGGGGCGCUUGUGAUGAUUGGGAUACUAGAAAUACACAGCUUCUUAUGGCAAGAAUAACUAUUUUGUUAUAAAUUAUAGAGCCAAGUUAAUAUUUGGGCAUAUUUUUACCAGAGUUAGCUUUUAGAAACGUGGUUUUUCUAAUUGAGCAAUGUGCGUGGCUAAAAUUGUGAAUACAAAACCUUAAAUUUGAGUUUGAAAAUGCAUACACGACCGAAGAAACAUAUAAGCUGCUAAAAUAAAUCUUCCCUAGAACUGUUGUACAAAAAAGAUAGAAGUUCCAGCAACAAAUUUAUCACCAGUUCAACCUUUGAUUUGAUGUAAACAGUAAUUGUUUCUUGAUGAGAAAUGCGAAUGAAAUAGUUUAUGGUGUGAUUGUGUUAGUGUUUUAUUAAUAGUUUUGUUGAUGCAGUUUAAAGGUUCAUAGUUUUUCAUUAAAACAUUUGAAAUUGACAUGUUUACAUGCAGUUUAGUGUGAUACCAUUUUAAUAAACAUUAAAAUCUUUCGAACUAGUAGUGGUUUUAUGGCGAUUGACAGAUUGAAUAACGAAAAU